ACAUGACUCUCGGCAACGGAUAUCUCGGCUCUCGCAUCGAUGAAGAACGUAGCGAAAUGCGAUACCUGGUGUGAAUUGCAGAAUCCCGCGAACCAUCGAGUCUUUGAACGCAAGUUGCGCCCGAGGCCUUUCGGCUGAGGGCACGCCUGCCUGGGCGUCACGC
rnacentral:rRNA from 1 species